AUCUGGCUGGCUCAGUAGAAAGAGCAUGCGACUCUUGAUCUCAGGAUUAUGAGUUCAAGUCCCAUGUUGGGGG
rnacentral:tRNA from 1 species